UCUUCCUCCUCAAUCCUCCCUGUUCUCUUUUCUAUCUAGGGUCGGCGAUGAGAGCCGCCACUGACUGUCGCAUCGGCCACCGCGUCAUCGCCGUCGUCGGUGGCCAUUCGAGCCUAAAUUUUAAGGGCAUGCUCGCCUCGAUGCGGUGGUCUCGGAUCGGGGCUCGGUUUCACAUGAAAAUGGCCUCCAACGCCAUGAAACAAGGCUGAGACCCUUCGGCUUCCAAUGCUCCAAUCUACCUUCUCCGCCGUUGAAUCGAUCCGAUCUUGAAGUAUGAUGUUCCCCUCCUCCAAAUGCUUCUCCUCACCGUUCGAAUUUAGCGAUGGAGGCUCCGAAAGUCGGCGAAUCCUUCGGCCGGGAGUUUGCAGGGAAUGGAGAUGGCAUGGUGGUGGCCUGAACCGGGUGGUAGGGUAUGGGAGGCCCGGAUUUCACGGGAUGGCUUACUGUUUUCUCUUCCUCUUUUUUUAUUAUUUUAUUUAUUUAUUA